AACGAACGCUGGCGGCGCGCCUAACACAUGCAAGUCGAACGAGAAUCCGGGGCAACCCGGUAGUAAAGUGGCAAACGGGUGAGGAAUACAUGGGUAACCUACCCUUGGAGAAGGGAAUAACCCGCCGAAAGGUGAGCUAAUACCCUAUACGCUAUCUUUUUUUCGAAAAGGAUAGGAAAGCCGGGUCGAGGACCUGGUACUCAAGGAGGGGGCUCAUGUCCUAUCAGCUUGUUGGUGGGGUAACGGCCUACCAAGGCUACGACGGGUAGCUGGUCUGAGAGGAUGAUCAGCCACACUGGCACUGAGAUACGGGCCAGACUCCUACGGGAGGCAGCAGUGAGGAAUAUUGCGCAAUGGGCGAAAGCCUGACGCAGCGACGCCGCGUGGGGGAUGAAGGUUUUCGGAUUGUAAACCCUUUCAUGAGGAAGAUAAAGUGGGUAACCACUUAGACGGUACCACAAGAAGAAGCCACGGCUAACUUCGUG
rnacentral:rRNA from 1 species